ensembl:lncRNA
CAGGGAACAGCCGUGCCCACACAGCCCUCCACAUGCAUACAGCAUCACCGCUGUGACAGGAUGGAUGAUAGAUGACGAGGCAUGUCAUGAGGAUAUAGGCGGAACUUCAGGGAUGUUUUAAAUUCUAUCUCACAAACUCACUUCAGACUGUGUGGGCUUCUCUAAGCCAGAUACUUUUCUUUGUCCUCCUCGUGCUGCUACCAUUUUGGGGAGAAGAAGAGUGAAAAGGAGAGGACAAGUUUUGGGUUUUUGUGAUGAAUUUGUACAUGAGCUUUAGCAAUCUUCUGGAGAUCUGGGUGACUGAGGGUAGACCCCCCAACAUCAUCUCAGACCCCCAGGAAGGGGUAGCUUUGGAGGGCCAGUGGGAAGGGGGUGACUCUGGAGAUCCCCUCACCCUUUCAGGGACUACUUCCAUGUCUAAAUCUGACGUGGGUACAGAGGAUUCUGGGGUGGAGAUAACCAGCUCUGAGGCUUCUCUCCCUUCCUCCUCUUCGUCUGUGUCCAUGUGUAAUACAGCUAUUGAUCCUGUCUCAACUUCAAUCAGGGAGGAGGAUGGACUCCCCUCUACCUCUCCUCCAUGCUCUCCUGUCCUCUCUCCGCCAUCCUUCUGCUCCUCUUCCUCCCUGUCGCUCUGCCUUAGGACCAGGGCUCAGGGGCACAGGGAGCUUGCUGUGGUCAUGCACCGAAAAGUGGAGCAGGCACUGCGGAGGACAGACACAAGUGGCAGGCGGCAGGUCCUGAGGCAUGGAGGCAGAGACGCCGUGUCACGACGGCAGUGUCACAUGGCUUCACUACCCUCAACGCACUCAGUGACCCAUAACCAGAGGGCAGGUCACAGGUCAGGGAGUGCUGGUCUGAGGAGGACAGUCAGUCUGUCAGUUGUGGAUGAACAGGCCUCAACAGAGCUGCUGCAGCACAGAGGAGGCCUCUCCCCACAGCACAACGCUCUGCCUCCUCAGACAGAGACAGAGAUCUGGAAGAAUGAUGUGUGUGAGAGAGCGUAUGAGGGGCUCACCCCAGGGCUGGGGUACCUGGAGCAUGUGUGCCGGAUGCUGGAGGAGAUUGCUAGGCUACAGAUGCAUAACCAGAGGUUACAGGUGGAGAUGGAGGCUCUCCGGGAGCAGCAGGAGAGCAGGAAUUCACAACACAGUCAGUGUGACUGCAAGGCUGCUGAGGAUGGUGGCCGCUCUGCCAAUGAAAGACGACUUAAUGCUAAAGAUUAUGUUGAGGACUUACCCUGCCAAUCAUUUAAAAAUAAUUGUAACGUGCAUCAGCAUUUUCGACGGAGGUCAGCAUCGGACACAAGACUCAUGAUGGGAUAUCUGAGGAAGUUGAAGGAAGAGUCUGGACGGUGGUACCUGAGUAUAGAGGACCUGCUUGAACAGCCCAAGGAUGACAAAAAGCAGGAGAAAGAAGAGGUAGGAAAGAAAGAGCAGGGAAGUAGGAUUAAGACCUGGAAACUGAAGAUUGGCUCUCUGAGGAGGGAGGAGACCACAGAGAAAACCAGCAAACCGAUUCAUUCAUCCGUGGAGAAGGUGAGCGGGCGUCGGUUGAGACAGCUUUUCAAGAGAAGGAAAACUGUGCCAGAAUGAGAAGAGCAGAAUAUUCCAACAUUACAGUCAUUGGUUCUUAGUAACAUUCCUCUGUUAAGACUUGGAGAAUGAGGACACAUACUGUAACACUUUUUCCACAAAGCUGUGGAUUCACAGGACGCCAAUCUAUUUAGUCAUCUCAAUAUAUGGAUAUUGGUGUUUGUCUGCUGCUACAUGUAUAGUUAUUUAUACUCAGGUAGCAUACAUAUUUUUAUAUUGCAAGUUUAUACAGCCAAUAACCAAUGUGUUUUUAUGUUUCGUUGAUGUCCAAGUACAUUAGCUAUAGGAUAUGAUCAUAUAAUGUUUUAAAAUAAGUAAAGCCAGUGCAAUGUAUAUAUAUUUCAUCACUUGUCCAUGUCUGUCUGUAUCCCCACGUCUGCAACAGGAUAUUUAUUUUUCACUUUUGCUUUAUACAGUCUUUUCAGGAAAAUAUAUGUGUGUAUAUAUGUGUGUGUAUAUAUAAAAAUAUAUGUAUGUGUAUAUA